rnacentral:rRNA from 1 species
UCCAUAGGUUAAUGAGGCGAACCGGGGGAACUGAAACAUCUAAGUACCCCGAGGAAAAGAAAUCAACCGAGAUUCCCCCAGUAGCGGCGAGCGAACGGGGAGGAGCCCAGAGCCUGAAUCAGUGUGUGUGUUAGUGGAAGCGUCUGGAAAGGCGCGCGAUACAGGGUGACAGCCCCGUACACAAAAAUGCACAUACUGUGAGCUCGAUGAGUAGGGCGGGACACGUGGUAUCCUGUCUGAAUAUGGGGGGACCAUCCUCCAAGGCUAAAUACUCCUGACUGACCGAUAGUGAACCAGUACCGUGAGGGAAAGGCGAAAAGAACCCCGGCGAGGGGAGUGAAAAAGAACCUGAAACCGUGUACGUACAAGCAGUGGGAGCCUCUUUAUGG